GAUGAACGCUGGCGGCGUGCUUAACACAUGCAAGUCGAACGAAGCACCUUGAUUUGAUUCUUCGGAUGAAGAGCUUGGUGACUGAGUGGCGGACGGGUGAGUAACGCGUGGUUAACCUGCCUCAUACAGGGGGAUAACAGAUAGAAAUGACUGCUAAUACCUCAUAAGACCACCGCACCGCAUUGUGCCGGGGUAAAAACUCCGGUGGGAUGAGAUGGACACGCGUCUGAUUAGGUAGUUGGCGGGGUAACGGCCUACCAAGGCGACGAUCAGUAGCCGAGCUGAGAGAGUGACCGGAGACAUUGGGACUGAGACACGGCCCAAACUCCUACGGGAGGCAGCAGAGGGGAAUAUUGCACAAUGGGGGAAACCCUGAUGCAGCGACGCCGCGUGAGCGAUGAAGUAUUUCGGUAAGAACAGCACUAUCAGCAGGGGAGGAAAUGACGGUACCUGACUAAGAAGCACCGGCUAAAUACGUG
rnacentral:rRNA from 1 species